rnacentral:rRNA from 1 species
UACGUAGGUGGCAAGCGUUGUCCGGAUUUACUGGGUGUAAAGGGCGUGUAGCCGGGUUGACAAGUCAGAUGUGAAAUCCUGCGGCUUAACCGCAGAACUGCAUUUGAAACUGUUGAACUUGAGUGCAGAAGAGGAGAGUGGAACUCCAUGUGUAGCGGUGGAAUGCGUAGAUAUUAGGAGGAACACCAGUGGCGAAGGCGGCUUACUGGACGAUGACUGACGCUGAGGCUCGAAAGCGUGGGGAGCAAACAGG